rnacentral:rRNA from 1 species
UACGGAGGGUGCAAGCGUUUAAUCGGAAUUACUGGGCGUAAAGCGCACGCAGGCGGUUCGCCAAGUUUGGAGUGACAGUUGUCGGCUCAACCGACAAAGGACUUCAAAAACUGGUGAACUUGAGGACGAGAGAGGAACAUGGAACUCCAGGUGUAGUAGUGAAAUGCGUAGAUAUCUGGAAGAACACCAAUGGCGAAGGCAAUGUUCUGGCUCGUUUCUGACGCUCAGGUGCGAAAGCCAGGGGAGCGAACGGG